CACGUACUGUGCGAACGUUAUUCGGAAUCACUGGGCUUAAAGGGUGCGUAGGCGGCGAUUCAAGUCAGGUGUGAAAUGCCUGAGCUCAACUGAGGCAUUGCGCUUGAAACUGAAUUGCUAGAGUAUUCCAGGGGUGUGCGGAACUGCCAGUGGAACGGUGAAAUGUGUUGAUAUUGGCAGGAACACCGGAGGCGAAAGCGGCACACUGGGGGAUAACUGACGCUGAGGCACGAAAGCGUGGGUAGCAAACAGG
rnacentral:rRNA from 1 species